AUUGAACGCUAGCGGGAUGCCUUACACAUGCAAGUCGAACGGAGUGGCGAACGGGUGAGUAAUGUAUCGGAACGUGCCUAGUAGCGGGGGAUAACUACGCGAAAGCGUAGCUAAUACCGCAUACUAUUGAAGCGGCCGAUAUCGGAUUAGCUAGUUGGUGGGGUACGGGCUCACCAAGGCGACGAUCCGUAGCUGGUUUGAGAGGACGACCAGCCACACUGGGACUGAGACACGGCCCAGACUCCUACGGGAGGCAGCAGUGGGGAAUUUUGGACAAUGGGGGAAACCCUGAUCCAGCCAUCCCGCGUGUGCGAUGAAGGCCUUCGGGUUGUAAAGCACUUUUGGCAGGAAAGCGGUACCUGCAGAAUAAGCACCGGCUAACUACGUGCCAGCAGCCGCGGUAAUAC
rnacentral:rRNA from 1 species